UACAGAGGUCUCAACCGUUGUUCGGAUUCAUUGGGCGUAAAGGGUGCGUAGGCGGUCGGGUAAGUCGGAUGUGAAAUCUCAGGGCUCAACCCUGAAACUGCAUUCGAUACUGCCUGGCUAGGGUACAGGAGAGGAGACUGGAAUUUACGGUGUAGCAGUGAAAUGCGUAGAUAUCGUAAGGAAGACCAGUGGCGAAGGCGAGUCUCUGGACAGUUACCGACGCUGAGGCACGAAGGUCAGGGGAGCAAACGGG
rnacentral:rRNA from 1 species